AGUGAACGCUGGCGGUAGGCCUAACACAUGCAAGUCGAACGGCAGCACAGUAAGAGCUUGCUCUUACGGGUGGCGAGUGGCGGACGGGUGAGGAAUACAUCGGAAUCUACUUUUUCGUGGGGGAUAACGUAGGGAAACUUACGCUAAUACCGCAUACGACCUACGGGUGAAAGCAGGGGAUCUUCGGACCUUGCGCGAUUGAAUGAGCCGAUGUCGGAUUAGCUAGUUGGCGGGGUAAAGGCCCACCAAGGCGAUGAUCCGUAGCUGGCCUGAGAGGAUGAUCAGCCACACUGGAACUGAGACACGGUCCAGACUCCUACGGGAGGCAGCAGUGGGGAAUAUUGGACAAUGGGCGCAAGCCUGAUCCAGCCAUACCGCGUGGGUGAAGAAGGCCUUCGGGUUGUAAAGCCCUUUUGUUGGGAAAGAAAAGCAGCAGGUUAAUACCCCGCUGUUCUGACGGUACCCAAAGAAUAAGCACCGGCUAACUUCGUG
rnacentral:rRNA from 1 species